AAGGGAGGCCGACGCUAACAGAUGCUGCUAACCUCUAGACCCACGGUUUGACUCCGUGGCUCACUCC
rnacentral:tRNA from 1 species